rnacentral:rRNA from 1 species
UAAGACAGAGGUGCCAAGCGUUAGGCGGAAUCACUGGGCUUAAAGCGUGUGUAGGCGGACGUCUAAGUACCUUGUGAAAUCCCACGGCUCAACCGUGGAACGGCUGGGUAUACUGGGCGUCUUGAGCCACUUAGGGGUCGUCGGAACAAGCGGUGGAGCGGUGAAAUGCGUAGAUAUCGCUUGGAACGCCAACGGUGAAAACAGACGACUGGGAGUGUGCUGACGCUGAGACACGAAAGCCAGGGGAGCGAACGGGAUUAGAUACCCCGGUAGUCCUGGCCCUAAACGAUGUCGACUAGAUCGUGGUGGCUCUGACGCCAUCACGGUCGAAGCAAAAGUGCUAAGUCGACCGCCUGGGAAGUACGGUCGCAAGGCUA